rnacentral:rRNA from 1 species
UGGGGAAUAUUGCACAAUGGGCGCAAGCCUGAUGCAGCCAUGCCGCGUGUAUGAAGAAGGCCUUCGGGUUGUAAAGUACUUUCAGCGAGGAGGAAGGCGAUGCGGUUAAUAACCGUGUCGAUUGACGUUACUCGCAGAAGAAGCACCGGCUAACUCCGUGCCAGCAGCCGCGGUAAUACGGAGGGUGCAAGCGGUAAUCGGAAUUACUGGGCGUAAAGCGCACGCAGGCGGUCUGUCAAGUCGGAUGUGAAAUCCCCGGGCUCAACCUGGGAACUGCAUUCGAAACUGGCAGGCUUGAGUCUUGUAGAGGGGGGUAGAAUUCCAGGUGUAGCGGUGAAAUGCGUAGAGAUCUGGAGGAAUACCGGUGGCGAAGGCGGCCCCCUGGACAAAGACUGACGCUCAGGUGCGAAAGCGUGGGGAGCAAACA